rnacentral:rRNA from 1 species
AUUGAACGCUGGCGGAAUGCUUUACACAUGCAAGUUGAGCGGCAGCGCGGGGGCAACCCUGGCGGCGAGCGGCGAACGGGUGAGUAACAUAUCGGAACGUACCCAGUCGUGGGGGAUAACUAUCCGAAAGGAUAGCUAAUACCGCAUACGUCCUGAGGGAGAAAGCGGGGGAUCGCAAGACCUCGCGCGAUUGGAGCGGCCGAUAUCGGAUUAGCUAGUUGGUGGGGUAAAGGCUCACCAAGGCGACGAUCCGUAGCGGGUCUGAGAGGACGACCCGCCACACUGGAACUGAGACACGGUCCAGACUCCUACGGGAGGCAGCAGUGGGGAAUUUUGGACAAUGGGGGCAACCCUGAUCCAGCCAUUCCGCGUGAGUGAAGAAGGCCUCGG